AUUGGUAGAGGGGGGGUGAUCGAGCCUGCGCUUAAGUGCGCGGCGAGGUUGUUCUUUUUCGUUACGCCGAUAAUUCUUUACACACACUGGGGUUUUAUUUCUACAGUAUCGGGGGUAGCAAUACCGCCAAAACAAAACACAAACAAUUAUUUUUUAUUAUUUUAAUUUGUCAUUUCAAAAUCUGCUUUAUUGCAGUAACCAAAAUAUUCAAAACUUUCAACAACGGGUCUCUUGGUUCUCGCAUCGAUGAAGAACGCAGCGAAAUGCGAUACGUAAUGUGAAUUGCAGAAUUCCGUGAAUCAUCGAAUCUUUGAACGCACAUUGCGCCCCUUGGUAUUCCAGGGGGCAUGCCUGUUUGAGCGUCAUUUCCUUCUCAAAUACUUGUAUUUGGUUGUGAGUGACACUCAGUCUUGCAUUGAGUUAACUUGAAAUUGUUGGCCGUAGCGGUUGUUGCAGCUUAUAGUUUUUGUGUAAUGGUAUGAUUUCUUUACUAUUAAACAGGGUGCUUGAGCAUGUCGUAUUAGGUUUUACCAACUCCGGCAGACUCGGUAUCUUGGGAGAGCGUACUGGCAUUAGAACAUUGAACUGUCGACUGUGGCAAACAGUACUCUUUAAGUUUGACCUCAAAUCAGGUAGGGAUACCCGCUGAACUUAAGCAUAUCAAUAGCCGGGGGGA
rnacentral:rRNA from 1 species